rnacentral:misc_RNA from 1 species
UCCAUAUAUAAUAUGUAACAAUAAAUUCAUACCCUUUUACAAAAUAAUUUUGAAAAGAAUAUAUAAUUGAAAAGAAUGCAUCCUACAUGAAUUGUAGCAUUUAUUAAAUAAAUGUGUAUUUAUAUAUAGUUUAUUUCAACUAACAUGUGUACUUUCUUAAAUGGAUGCUCAAUUCAUAGUUAUUAAAGACUCAAGGCGCACUAAGGCACUAAGGGGUCCUGGAGCCUAGGCGCA